CCGCGGCGGCGGGCCUGGUCGUGCGGGCGGUGCUGGUGGCGCUGCUCGGGCUCGUGCUCGUGGAGCUCCGGCCACCGGUCGCGGUC
rnacentral:tRNA from 1 species